UACGGAGGGUGCAAGCGUUAUCCGGAUUCACUGGGUUUAAAGGGUGCGUAGGUGGAUUGGUAAGUCAGUGGUGAAAUCUCUGGGCUUAACUCGGAAAGGUCAACCGAUACUGCGGGGCUAGAGUGCAGAAGGGGCAACUGGAAUUCUCGGUGUAGCGGUGAAAUGCGUAGAUAUCUGGAGGAACACCGGUGGCGAAGGCGGCGUUCUGGACUGCAACUGACACUGAGAAACGAAAGCCAGGGUAGCAAACGGG
rnacentral:rRNA from 1 species